UUGAGUCAUUUAUUACUUUUCCUGUGAUUUCGUUUACAAUUUGGGAAGCUACCAUUAUACGCUAUUACCUGCUUUACGUAAAUAUAGCAAGGAACCAUUUCCCGACAAGGCAAAAAGACAUUAAAUGAAACUGCAUCGUGAUGGAAUGCUCUGAAGUACCGAAUAUUGUAACAGUUCAAUAAAUCUAUUAGGGAAUAUUACAUCAAAUUUCCAAGAUUUUCAACUACUAACGCUAAAUGUCGAAAUAACACCGGGAGCACGAGCCGCUACAGACGACACGGGAACAGAAGAGGAAAUGCUGAGAGACAGCGACACCCGGAAGUAGCCGAAAAGGUUCACAUAGCAGAUUGGAUUUCAUCUCUGGUUUAAAUAUGGUCGCUGCAGAUGAAACACGAUGAUGUGAAAGUUACAUGUUCAUGUAUCGGAUGGUGGUGAGACUGUGGUCCUAAGUGUUAAAUGAGUUCAUGCUUCUUGUGGUUUGAGCCCCCCUGUCUGCUUCAUCAUGCCACUGGUAGUGGAUGCUGUGUGGGCAUUGUGGAGCAUUGGAGCUGGUGUCUAUGACUACUUCCACACCAGUGCCAUGGAAGAGAGGAUUCACACACUGGAAAACGUCCUCUCCAUCCACCAGUUUGUGAUCGCGGUCCUUUCAGCUGGUCUUAUCCUGCUCAUGACGUACAUACUGUGGAGAAAACACUAAAACCUCACUGACCUGGGAACCCACUUGAUGAAAGGAUAUCUUUGUUUUAAUCAAAGCACUAAAAAGAGAAAUAUAUGGGCUCAGACCUGUUUAAGUAAAGGUCAAGCAUGCUCAGUAACGCCCCAGAUGAAGUCAAGGGCACUGAUUUGGAACAAAGCAAGGAACAUACUUGUUAGAAGAUGUGUUGCUUAACUUGUCAUGUGGCUUCUGGUUGCACCUGAUUGUCUGCCUGUGUCUGUGUUUUGUUUGUGUAACUGGUUUAAAAUAAUGUUUACAGAGUUUCUAAACAUAACUUUGCACUUACUGUAUUGCCAAGCUUAAAGGAGUUUAUUGUCUAGAAGAAGCUUCUUGAUUUACUGUAUACCAUUAUUUGAAACAUCCCAGUAUGUCCUGAAGGAUAACAAUGUUUAGUUGUUGUUGAUGACAAUUUGUUUCUAAAACGCUAAGGAGUUUAUGAGAGUUAACCAUCUGCUUUGUUACAGAAGCCAAGUCUGCCUGCAGUUACUAGUAGUUUUUUAAGUGUAAUUGCUAAAUCACAACAUAUUUACCUCAAGAUAAAUUGUUUUCUUGUUAUUUUGUUACAAAUGACAGGUUAAUUUGAUCUAAGGUCACUUAUUUUCUAGACUAGUCAGAUUGGGUUGUGUGUAGUUAGUUUACACUAAUGUAACAUAUGUUAAAACUAUUUUAAUAAUGUGUUUAAAUCUUAUAUCAAUUUGUAAAACAUACUAAGUAACAAUGAAAAGAUACAGGUAUGUGUUUCCUUUGUAUCUAUACAUCAAAUUUGUCUAACCGCUUUCUGUCUUAUUAUGUUAAUCAAAUUUAUGUUCGGGGAAGUUAUAUGGAGACACUAGGGAUACAUUAUUAUUGUCACUGACAAUGGCAUUCAUGUUUGCAUACUUUGUAGCUUCCUGUAUGAGAAGAUUUGCCAACAACGUUUAACACGUAACAAUUUAUUAGGAAAACAGAAUAAAGAUGUUUUGUCUAACUGA